rnacentral:rRNA from 1 species
AACGAACGCUGGCGGCAUGCCUAACACAUGCAAGUCGAACGAGACCUUCGGGUCUAGUGGCGCACGGGUGCGUAACGCGUGGGAACCUGCCCUUAGGUUCGGAAUAACUCCCCGAAAGGGGUGCUAAUACCGGAUAAUGUCUUCGGACCAAAGAUUUAUCGCCUUUGGAUGGGCCCGCGUUGGAUUAGCUCGUUGGUAGGGUAAAAGCCUACCAAGGCGACGAUCCAUAGCUGGUCUGAGAGGAUGAUCAGCCACACUGGGACUGAGACACGGCCCAGACUCGUACGGGGAGCAGCAGUGGGGAAUAUUGGAGAAUGGUCGAAGGCCUGAUCCAGCAAUGCCGCGUGAGUGAUGAAGGCCUUAGGGUUGUAAAGCUCUUUUACCCGGGAUGAUAAUGACAGUACCGGGAGAAUAAGCUCCGGCUAACUCCGUG